ACUCCUACGGGAGGCAGCAGUAGGGAAUCUUCCACAAUGGGCGCAAGCCUGAUGGAGCAACACCGCGUGAGUGAAGAAGGGUUUCGGCUCGUAAAGCUCUGUUGUUAAAGAAGAACACGUAUGAGAGUAACUGUUCAUACGUUGACGGUAUUUAACCAGAAAGUCACGGCUAACUACGUGCCAGCAGCCGCGGUAAUACGUAGGUGGCAAGCGUUAUCCGGAUUUAUUGGGCGUAAAGAGAGUGCAGGCGGUUUUCUAAGUCUGAUGUGAAAGCCUUCGGCUUAACCGGAGAAGUGCAUCGGAAACUGGAUAACUUGAGUGCAGAAGAGGGUAGUGGAACUCCAUGUGUAGCGGUGGAAUGCGUAGAUAUAUGGAAGAACACCAGUGGCGAAGCGGCUACCUGGUCUGCAACUGACGCUGAGACUCGAAAGCAUGGGUAGCGGAACAGGAUUAGAUACCCCUGGUAGGAUAGCG
rnacentral:rRNA from 1 species